AUUGAACGCUGGCGGCAGGCCUAACACAUGCAAGUCGAACGAGUGGCGGACGGGUGAGUAAUGUCUGGGAAACUGCCUGAUGGAGGGGGAUAACUACUGGAAACGGUAGCUAAUACCGCAUACCAUCAGAUUUGCCCAGAUGGGAUUAGCUAGUAGGUGGGGUAACGGCUCACCAAGUCGACGAUCCCUAGCUGGUCUGAGAGGAUGACCAGCCACCAGAGAACUGAGAGACGGUCCCGACUCCUACGGGAUGCAGCAGUGGGGAAUAUGGCAAAAGAGGCGCAAGCCUGAUACAGCCAUGCCGCGUGGAUGAAGAAGGCCUUCGGGUUGGAAAGUACUUUCAGCGGGGGGGCGUUACCCGCAGAAGAAGCACCGGCUAACUCCGUGCCAGCCGCCGCGGUAAUUC
rnacentral:rRNA from 1 species